GCUGAUUGGAAGAGGUAAUCAUUUUAUCUGCGGCUGGAGGAUUAGCAGAUAAACUUUUAUUGCUCCCUUUUGUGCGUGUGUGUGUCUUUGUGCGUGCGUGGGUGUGGGUGUGUAGAGGAAGAAGUCGCCUCUCAAGGGGGAAAAUCUUUUCAAUUUCCCUUUGGCAGGUGCAAGUCAAGGAGGAACUCAUGAGCAUUUUGUCUGAUCCAUGAACUGAUUGGGAGAGGGGAAGCGAUCCCUGUCCUCUUAUCCUUCCUUUCCCAGUUUUGAAAUCAUUCCUUCCCCACCACCGCCGUCCUCCCGUCGUUCCCCUCCUCUUCCCCUUCCCCUGCACUGAAUGAAUGGAAGAGUCUCCACGGUUUUCUUCUGCUUCUCGCCCUGGACUGGAGAAGUGAGGGGGCAUUUAUCUAUCCUCAUCCAUCUCUUUUUCGCUCCAUCCAUUCCCGAGGGGAUUUCAGACUGUGCAAUGUGUUUUCAGCCUCUUGCCGCUGCUACCACUUGAUACUAUGCUACGCGCAGGGAGAGGGUUUUGCAAAAAUGGAUUUAUUGUAUUUUAAAGGAUUUCUUCUCUAAUAAGGUUCUCAUUGCACACAAGUAUGACUAAAUCCCCUAUUUGGUAACUCUUUCUCUACCCCACCCCUCCUCUUUGGGUUCCCUCCCGCCCGCCCCCACCCCUUCAGAGGAGCAAGCACAGGGAGCUGAUGACGGACCCAUUAAUCCCUUCUUCAAUGCAUCAAAAGAAGCCGAAGGGCUGGAAGUCGCUGGGCUCGGAGUCCUGCAGAAAAUGCUUCGAUCUGCUUUUGGUUCUGUAUGAAACUGGUGACUAGGGGCUCGGCUCGCUCCGCCGCCGCCGCCCGCCGGCACCUGGAUGCGCGGGCCGCCGCCGCCGCCGCCGCCUUGCCCGCCGCCGCCGCGAUGCACCGCUCGCGGCGGUGCUGGUGAUCGCUCGGGUGUGAUGGGAUUCAGCCGGCGGUGAUCAUUUGAAGGCGGUGAGGGAGAGCGAGGGAGAGAAAGGGCUGCUCCGCUCUGCUGUGUGUGGGCUUCGGGAUUUUUUUUUUCUUUUUUUUUUCUUCUUCUUCUUCUUCUUUUUUUCCUACUUCCAUCCUCUCCCCGCCACUGGAAGUCCUCCCGUAUCUAAAUGGAAUUAGUGGAGACCGAAGCCCCUUGUGUAAGGAACAGACAUGACCCAUGGGCGCAGCUUCUUUCACAUUGUAGCAAGUCUAAUCAUCCUACAUUUUUCUGGGGCAACCAAAAAAGGAACAGAAAAGCAAACUUCUUCCGAAGGACAGAGACCAGUGCAGUGUGGAUCUUGGACAAAAUAUGCAGAAGGAGGGAUCUUCACUUCUCCAAAUUACCCCAACAAGUAUCCUCCAGACAGAGAGUGCGUCUACAUUAUAGAAGCUGCUCCUAGACAAUGCAUUGAACUACACUUUGAUGAAAAAUAUUCCAUAGAGCCUUCUUGGGAGUGUAAAUUUGACCAUAUUGAAGUACGAGAUGGACCUUUUGGCUUUUCCCCAAUCAUUGGACGUUUCUGUGGACAGCAAAAUCCACCUAUGAUAAAAUCCAGUGGCAGAUUCCUGUGGAUUAAAUUUUUUGCUGAUGGUGAACUGGAAUCUAUUGGGUUUUCUGCUCGGUAUAAUUUUACACCUGAUCCAGAUUUUAAGGACCUUGGGGUUUUGAAGCCAUUGCCAGUUUGUGAGUUUGAGAUGGGAGGACCUGAAGGAAUUGUGGAAUCUGUACAAAUUGUUAAAGAAGGAAAAGCUUCUGAAACUGAAGCAGUAGACUGUAAAUGGUACAUCCGAGCACCACCCCGAUCCAAGAUCUAUUUGCGAUUCUUGGACUACGAGAUGCAGAAUUCCAACGAAUGCAAAAGGAAUUUUGUAGCAGUCUAUGACGGAAGCAGCUCUGUGGAGGAUUUGAAGGCAAAGUUUUGCAGCACUGUUGCCAAUGAUGUAAUGCUGAGGACAGGUCUGGGUGUAAUCCGUAUGUGGGCAGAUGAAGGCAGUCGCAACAGCCGAUUCCAGAUGCUCUUCACAUCUUUCCAAGAACCCCCCUGUGAAGCCAACACAUUCUUUUGCCACAGUAAUAUGUGUAUAAAUAACACACUGGUCUGCAAUGGACUCCAGAACUGUGUGUAUCCCUGGGAUGAAAACCACUGCAAAGAAAAAAGAAAAGCAAACCUAUUGGACCAACUUACCAAUACCAGUGGGACUAUAAUUGGGGUGACUUCUUGCAUUGUGAUCAUCCUCAUUGUUAUCUCUAUUAUAGUACAGAUCAAGCAGCCUCGUAAAAAAUUUGUCCCAAGGAAAACAGACUUUGAUCAAACAGUGUUCCAGGAGGUGUUUGAGCCUCCUCAUUAUGAGUUAUGCACCCUUAGAGGGACAGGGACUACAGCUGACCUUGCUGACGUUGCAGAUGACUUUGAAAAUUAUCAUAAACUGCGGAGAUCCUCUUCAAAAUGCAUUCAUGACCAUCACUGUGGAUCACAAGUGUCUAGUAUUAAGGGCAGCCGUAGUAACCUCAGCACAAGAGAUGCUUCUGUCUUGACAGAAAUACAACCCCAGCCUGUAAAACCACUUGUUCAGCCCAUGAACAGGAGAAAUAUCCUUGUCAUGAAGCAUAGCUACACACAAGAUGCUGCAGAUGCGUGCGAGAUAGACGAAAUUGAAGAGGUGCCAACCACAAGUCACAGGCUGUCCAGACAUGAUAAAGCUGUUCAGCGCCAUAACAUUCCAGGUUCUGCCUCAUUGGGUCUCUAAGCAAACAUGAGUCUGAGUACAACACAACUAGGGUCUAAGAGAAAAACCUGAGGAAAAGGAAUUGUGCUGAUCCACAAUCUCCCAACAAGGUCACUAUGGGAAAAAAGGGAAGCUGCUAUCCCCUUCAAGCCAUGAAUUGUAACUGGGAGAAGAGAGACAAUUUAAGAAGCCCAUGAUGAAAAAUGGAAUGAGCAAGACUGCUUAGAUUUCUUUACCAAAGUAACAGGCCUGACCAGCACUGUGCAGCAUCAUUUCAUCACUUCAUCUCAGAUAAAGGAAAACAGCAAUUCAAGCCUUCUUUAUCCCAAGGAGAAGGAUGCCACAACUGUGAGUACCAAUUCUAUUCAGAGCUCUUCAAGGAUUUAACAGCUUCUUGCAUAAAUGUAGGCAGACAAGGACUUACUGGGCCUAUGAGGGUAGUCUUUUGCUUCCACAUGCAGCAUCAGCAACAUCUAGCUAUUUAGAUCUUUUAAGUUUUCCAUUAUUCAGUGAGUCCUCCUGAGCUCCAGAAAGGUACAUAAUAAACACACUUAGCUACUUAAAAAUUAGUGGCUUUACAGGAAAGCAACUAUUGGUAUUUAGUUUAGUUGGAUGUGAAAAGUACCCAUGGCGCUUGAAGCAACUAUUAAGAAAAAAAUAGGUGCUUUUUUUGCACAGAUGCUAGAUUGAUGUAUCUGGUUCAGUGAACCAUUCACCUGGAUCAACUAAAUGAAAACACCUUCCAUCUGAAAUUUUACUUCUAAAACUGCACUGCCUGAUUCAUGCUUUAGUCACAUCCUCCUUCUAGAUCCUGCUUUUUUCUGAGUUCAGUGGAAGUUUUAGUUAGGAAAAAUCAGUUUGUUGAAAGUGAAUGACUUUCACUGUCUUUAGUGAAGCCAAAAAUAUGAUUUAUACUGGGGAAGGAGAGCUUCAUUCUCAUUUCUUAGUGCUAGAGGAGUUUUCAACGCAAGUAAUCUGCUCUUUCCCUUUGUUUUAAAAAUCAGUGAUUCAAAGAAAAAUUAAUGCUAUAAGGUGAUACAUGUAAGUUUGAGAAGGGAAGUAAAACAAUGAAAGAGAACACUAGAAAUCUAAAUUAAGCAUAUUUUCCCAAUGAUCAAAGCAACAAUAAUAUUUUCAGAAGUUACAAGGCUAACAGUUGAACCCUUAUUUAUUAUACAAGCCCAAUGCUACCUUUCAGUUUUGUAAUAAAUUUCAUAUUAUCGUAAGAUAAAAUUCAGCUGAGGAAUAGGAGUGAUUUUAUAUUUGUAUACCAAUUUAAAAUUUAACACUUAAAAAUCUUUAAGGUGCUGAUAUCCUUUAUUUUAAAGACAACUGGUUUUGCUGGUCAGAAAGAAUUACUGUCUUUCUUUUUUUUCAGAGCCAAGUUUCUGCAUUUUGAGUUUUCCUUGCCAAAUGGAAGACGUUUUUAAUUCCUUUCCAACUUUUUCACUCCCACAUUCUACUGACUGAUUUUGGUGUAGAAAACACCCAUGGGGUGAUUUUGUUUGAUAUUCUGAGCAUAUCUGGCACCUCUUUAGUAAUGAAACAGUACAGUAAAGCUCUGCCUGCAGGAAGAAUUUCUUCAACUGUUAUCUAAGUUGCAUGGCAAAGAUCCAGUCCCAGAGACUUGUGCUGUCAUUUGAGAAUAACUUUAGUGACACAAAAUAUCUUGUUAGCUUUCAGUGUCUUGGUAGAAAGUCUACACUAAUCUAGGCAAAUAUUAUUUAACUAUUAAUUAUUUAAAUUUUACAUUUUUAGAAUGUCAAUAUGGCACCUCCACUUGUUAAUAUUGCCAUCUCUUUGGUGAUUGAAAAAGAGAGUAAUGUUAACAUGGAAAACCUAGAGUUCAUAGCAGAAGGUGGCAAAGAUUAUGUGACAUUUUUAUUAAAUAUGCUACAGUUUUCAGGUCUGUGAUUGUUUUCCUUAAAUUCAGCUAGAAUUCUUAGUUUUACUUAUCCCUUUUGUGAUGCAAACUUUGUAGUCUUUAUAUGUCUAUCAGAUUAGCAUCUCUUUUGCAGCUCAGUAGCUUGUGGGGGCUCAAAAAGAAGAAAAAAUAUUUCCUGUUCUGGGAUAUAAUAUACAGCUUUAUAAAAAAGUCUAUCAAUUAUCAUUAGAGUUUAGCUGGAUCACAAUGUGCUGCUAGAAAAUUAUUAGAUUUGAUAUGCAUAAAAAUAAAAAUAGGAAAUUUCUCUAGAAGUUCUGCAUGAUUUUCAUUCCCUAAGAUUUUAUUAUUCAACUGCAUUUGAUCAAAAGAUAGAAACCUCAACAGGCAUAAACGUUUAUGAAAAUCUCAAUAGGGACAUAAACCUUAUAUAGCAUGAAGUUUUAAACACACAUCUGUUUGGAAUAUAUGGAGAAAAGAGAGGGAAUAUUUAGAAACUUUUAAAAUGCUUUUAGAAAAUGAGUGCUGCUUCCAUCUCAGAAUUAAUCAAACAGAUUUUCCACAGGCUCCUUUCUGUAAAAUCUGUGCGUUGGGAUGAACAAUCCAUUUAAAUGAGAGGUAUAAAAUGAAAUAUUUAAGAAGGAACAGAAGUAGAUCAUGGUAGUGAAAGUGUUUGGAAGUAUGGUGUGUGAUUCUGAACCUAGUAAAUACACCUUGAAAUACUACAAAAUUUAAGUCCCUUUGGUUUCCUUACUAUAAGGCGUAUGAUUUAAAGCUGUGACAUACCAGGGGCAUAAUAGCCAAUUAAGUAAAUAGGAAGUUUCUUUCUUAGAGUUCCUGAAUCAGAAUCUUGUCAUCCAGCCUCUAAGCCUCAGCACCUUCUGUUGCUGAUGGCACUAAAUGAGCUGAUAAUUCAGAAGGCUCUUUGUGACAGACCGCUUGUCAUUUUGGUUAGGACUCCAAAACCCGCCUCCAGCUAUGAUGGUAAUAACAGAAGUUAGUGGGUGAUGAAAAAUUUGGUUCAGUUAACCCUUAACUACAUAUCUAUUUUGCCUUUUAUCUGUCUUUACAUUUUACUAAUUAAAGUAGAAAUUAGAGGGUAGCUAAUUUAAUUUAAAAUAUGUUCUAUCGCUCUAUCUGGAUUUUCUUUAGCAUUCUUGAAACCUGUUUGCUGAUAAACACCUAUCAAGUAUUUAUUAUUUAACACUAUGGCUCAAAUGACUUUUAGCUUGAGCAUGAAGUUCUGAAGAUUUAAAUUUUGUUAUCUCACCUCACUCCUUGACAUUUAUUAAUAUUUCAAAGCUCUCUCAGGAUCUGCUAUCCAGUUUGGAGAUGACUUUUUUCAGUGCUGAAUACCAGCCGUGUCAGAAGUAAGAAGAAAAACUUUGCAUCUGAAGAUUAAUAAUCCAUUUUCUCAAUGCAAAGAACAAUCAGAGUACUAGAGCCACACUUCUACUGCUAGGGGAAAAAGAACUCUAAAAUUUCAACUUGCCAGGUUGUAUUUUUGCUGUGAAAAGAGUCCUUGUCUUCAGUUUCAAAGUGCAUUCAGGAAAAAGUGGAAAUCAAAGGAGGAUGAUAAAGAAAAAAAAUCAUGCAAAACCCCAACAGUGGUAAGUAAAUAAAUAAUUGUACACUUGUGCCUAAAAUUAAUGUACAGCAUACCAUGGGGUGGAGCCUCUACUGCUCCUUUUGGAUAACUUGCAAAUCCUCUAAGGAGUUUAUGGUGAUUGUUUUUAGACCUGGGUCAGGUAUUGUUUGCUAACAUGUUAGUUAAGUUGUGCUCAUCUACUUCUAAGAUUUAUGGACUCUCUACAUUCCUAAAUGCUUUUUAAAGACAUUGGCCAGACAGUUCCAACAAUUUCCACUACUUCACUUAUUUUAUAGAUCAUAUAUAGAUCAUGUAUAGAUCACAGGAACUCCAAUAUGGAACUCCUAUUGAGACUAGCAAAAGAUUGCAUAGCUAUGGCAUCUCGUCAGUAUUGUAAUCAUAGAGCAUUGUUGGAAAAAUGGGAGAAAAUACAGCGAUGUAUUGUAAUGUGACAUUCAAGGACACCAUCCACAGAACCCUAGAAUAGGACCUUUUAGCGAAAAUGCAGUAUGGAGUCACCUCUAAGGAUCUUUCCUUUGUCCUUUUUCAUAUGCUGAUUUCUAAAAUAAUAGCAAAUAUUGUGAAGGAGAAAGAGAGAACAAAAGCAUAAACCAGAUUUUUGCUUUUGUCAUAAUAAUAAUGCUUAUCUCUAUGUCUACUGCUUGGGUAAUGUAUUGUUUGGGAAGAAUUCUGUGCUGGUACAGGCUUUCAAUCAUAACAUGUAAGGUUGAUGCUUAUGCAAGCCUUCUGCAAGAUUAUUGAUGUUUCAUAAAAUUCAUAAAUCCAAUAAACAUGAUAUGAGAAUAUUACAGCAUUUUGCCUUUGCUGUUUUCAACAGGAAAUGCAUUCUAGAUUAAAAAAAUCUGCAGAAAGCUCAAGUUUGAACAAAAGUCAUGAAUCUCUCCCCACUCCAAACCAUGCAUAUUGUGGAGUUAAAUGCAGACUAAUUUGUUAAAAUGUGGUGCAUAUGCUGACAUAUGCAAUCAAUUUUCUAAUGUGGCAUGCUUUCCAUCACUUAGUAUGCAUAUCUCCCAGGUACAUGGACACUCUAUUAUGAACAGAGGAGCUUAUUUGUCCCCAGACAGCAAUAAGCAGUCAUCAGCUUGCUGAAAACUGCAAAUGUGUCCAAGCUAAUGCUGCAAGUAUUUGGACUGAUAUUACACAAAGAAGUUGGACAGAGAAAUACAAAGGAAGGCUCUCAUCCAUUUCCAGAAUAUUUUAUGCUUGGCAUUGCAAAACAUAUUUCAAUUUAUAUGAUGAUGAACAUAUAUUAAAAAGACUUAUCCAUUCACUUUCUGAAGGCAGUGUUUUAUUCAGGGGGAAAAAAGAUGCAGCUAAAAUGUCACAAUGCUUAGGAAACAUCUACUCAACCAGAUCAUGACUAAGGAAACUCCACACUAACUUUAUUUGUAUUUUGUUCAUGGUUUCUGUUUCUUUCAAUCCCUCUUAAUUAAUGUUAAAAGCUGUUAGUCAAAGGUAUGUAAUGUCUCAAAGCUGAAUCUUGAUUCAAGAUCUUGUAUGGGUUGAACCAUUUCUGGCUUAAGCACAACAGAAACCAGAGGAAAGAUGGGUACUUGUCAUUUCCCCAGCCUGCGCCACUUCACGGAGAGUAGGGAAGGAAACCGCCUCAGCUGAAAAACUUCAAGAGUUUUUUUAGACUUCUUAACUCAUCAGAAACCAAAGUACUGUAAAUAAAGUCCCACUUCUGUAAAAGUGCUUCUUUGCUGCCAUCAAAAAGAACAUGAGAGGCAGGUUACGGCUGUCUGACAUUCUUCUAAUUUAUUAAAAGGUGAUUGCUCAUCUGCAUUAGUUUUCAUGAAACUCUUUCUGAAACUGAUCUGGGAGGUUUCAAACUUAGCCUUCCACAUGAAAGAGAAUGGCCUGUAAUGUCGAAUUUCCUGCGUGUUCACUCGUCGGAAGAAAUAAGUUCAAGAGAUGGGACUAUGCGAUUACACGAAUUUAUUGUUUAAAACAACAAAACGCAUCAGCCGAGGCGUGAGAUUUUACAACACCUCCGAAUAAUGGCGAGUCACAAGACUUAGAGUUACAUGGUAAUUUAUAACUUUCUAAUCCAAUAGGCACUUAAAACGACACUUUGUUUUAGAUAUAUGACCUAUCACCUGUGGCACUUCUCACUGCAAUGCAGCUGUGUCUUGACCAAUAACUUCUCAUGUCACGUACACAGAGAUGUCUCUCUUAUACCAUCUACAUUCUUAACUUCAACUGUAUAAAAUCACACUAUUAUAUUUAAAACCCUCUACCAGAACACCCAGUGUACAUUUUUACUUACAGGAACACAGGCUUGUAAUCCUUUUGCUUAAGAUCUAUAAAUCUCUUUCUAUUAAGCCAGACCUAGUUUCUUCCAGGGUUGUAAAUCAAAACCUCAUUUAAUUGCAGGAGUUUCUACUCCUCUGUCUCCCACACUAACCAGUGGGUCAAGGAAAGGGAAUCCUCCUUACUCCUCUUCUUUCACUUUCCCUAUUGAUCUAAUGAACAUCUGUCUUUAAAAAGAAAGGGAAUAAUUCUCACAAGAGUAAUUUAAUGCAAGAACGGUUAGAGUGUUGCACUUGCAGGCAAUUAGUUUAGAAUUAUUUCCAUUGAGUUGAAUUCACAGCUUCAGGUAACAGCAUCUGAGAGACCAUCCAGUUGAAGGCAGGCUCUGAUAGUGCUUUCUGUCUUUCCAUGUUUCAGUUCUGCUAUUCCAGUAGAAUUUGGAAGCUCCUGCUUCUAUGGGCUGGAAGAAAAUCCCUACAGAAGAAGAGAUGCUUCACAAAUGCCUUAGAUAGCAGAUUCCCUUCCUCUCAGCUCAGCCACUCUCACAGAUGACUAAGGUCACACAGGUGGCAGUAAUCAGUAGCAGUUCUGGAGGAAAAAAGACCCUCAGGUGGUGUUGGAAAAGGGAAAUGGAGGUCUUGUCUUAGUGUAUUAUUGCUGCUCCUUCACCAGUAACAACUGAUAAGUCAUCUUGCAACCAGUGAAAAGGAGAGAAGUUUUCUUUUGUCAACCCCUCCUUAUGUGAACUUACACCUUAUCUGAAUUUACAGUAAGUGCUGACUUACUGGCAGAGGGGAUUAUAAGGACAAGGGUCUUUUUCUAUCAAAUAAUUUUUCAUUUUCACUUAUUUUUCAGGGAAAAGUUCAGUAUUUAUUGUGUUCAAACAGAGCUACCUUGUCACCAAGGUUUUGAGACACCUCAGAUUUUAGUGCAGGACAGGUUUUAAACACUUCUGGAAGAUAGUCAGUUUCUGUUGGAAAUCUCAAUGUCCAGUAUUGUUAUUUCAAUGAAUUUAUAGUCAAAACUACUCUCCUCAUGAAUACUUAUUUGUUUUGAUCCAGGUCAAAACAAACUCAAUUACCUGCCUCUGUGACGGAUUUCAAUAAAUCUUUCUUAUUUCUUUUUGCUAAAAUGGGAAGAUGAAGGGAAGAAGGUAACAUUGUAUCUGAAGUCAGUUUCUAAUUCAAUUAGAGCUUCAUCUUGGCCCCAUUGAACUCACUGGGCUUUUUGCCACUAACUAAUAACGUUAGAGUCAGACUCAUAAGAUACAGUUUCUUAUUUCUUCCAGAUAACCAAUUAAAAUAUUAAAUAUCUCGGGGUGAAUGCUUCCUUCUCAUCCACAUGUUCUUUGAUAUUGUGUUAUUGCUUUUUCUUCUGUCCUUCAGUAAGUUUUAAUUAAGAGUUCCUUUGUGUGUAGGUGAAGGGGGGAUGUUUUAUUUUAAAACUUUUCAGGAUAUGCUUUAGUUUUGAUGGUUUCUAAAGAGAGAAAAAACAGGAACUUUUUUUUCUAGUGGAGGCCUAAUCUACCAAAUAUGCUUGCCUGAGUAUGAGUUGGGAAAUGAGAUGAUGAAUAAGGGGUAUGAGAGCAAACAUACACUCUAUCUCCUCUUUUAAUUUAAAAAAGAGAAAAAAAGGAAAAGAAUGUAUUUGAUCAUUAAAAAUCCUAGCUCAUCAGACUCUCCAGAGAAAAUAAAUCUCCUUUAUAUUUCACAAAAUGUCCAUUGUGAAAACAAGAUUAAUAUUACUGAUAGCUGGAUUAAUUUCUGAAGUCUCAUUAAGUUUAUAUCCAUUCAUUCUUUUUAAAUCUGUCAGAUCAGUUCUUACAACAGGGACAACUGAAAAUAAGGCCUUUAGAUCCAGUUUGUAGCAUUAGUUGCUAUGUCUGACAAUACAGGUGAAAGGAAUGUGAUAUCAGGGACUACAGAUUCAGAUAAAAGCUUGAAGCAGGAGAUGUGGGCAAAGAGGCACCUCUAAAAUGUUCUUGAAUUCUGGUAUAUACUUGUACAAAGAAGGAAGCUAUUUGAGUGGUGGAGAGAAGAAGGGAAAGGGAAUGAGGAGGCUGAAGGGUGGGACCUCAUUGCUUUCUACAACUUCUUGAAAGGAGGUUGUAGUGAGGUGGGAGUCAGUCACUUCUGUCAUAUUUCAGUCUAAAGGAUGUGAGGAAAUGGCCUUAAGUUGUGCCAGGGAAGGUUCAAAUUAGACGUUAGAAAAAAAUUUAUCACUGAGAAUGGUGGUUAGGUGUUGAAAUAAGUUGCCCAGGGAGAUUGUGGAGUCACCCUCUCUGGAAGCCUUCAAGAGGAGCCCAGGUUUCUCACUUGGGGAUAUGGUUUAGGGGUGAUUAUGGUGGUGUGAGGCUGAUAGCUGGACUAGGUGAUCUUGAAAGUCACUUACAAUAUUUAUGAAUCUGUGUGACUCUGGCUUGAUUUUCCUUCAGAUUUGUUCUGGUGACCAUAUACUUGGGUGACAGUGUAUGUACCAGUAGUAUUGCCUGGCUAAUACUUGAAAAAAGGUGUAUUAUCCUCCAUUCAGGCAAAUAUUUGAAAAUCAUAACUUUGGUCUAAGCAAAGAUUUUGCACUACAGUUAUUGACUUGGGCCUUAUGUGCAAGGCCAAAAAUAUUCCAGUUAUCUCUCUUCUGUGCAAGUACACACUGCACAUUGGUAUAUGCAAGAUGGUAACUGAAGGCCUUUCUAGAGCAUCUGAAAUUAUGGAAAAUUUAGAUUUUUACUUGGCUUUAAUAACAGUAGGGGACUAGAAGGGGAGAAAGUGAAAUCCUACCCAAUCUACUGAUGUAGAGAAGAUAAAACAUUAUUUCUAAUGGUGUGUUAUGUCAUUAAGUCUACUUUUUCAUUUUAAAAACCUAAAUUACAGGGUGUAGGGUGUUGGAGGCAUGACAGCAAUUCCCACUCCUUGUAAGAAUUAAACUGCUGGCUGCUUACAAGGUUUUCUAAUGACAAAACUGUCUUCCAAAUACAUUAUGGCCUUGUUUAUUGAUUUAUCUAGGUCUCUAAGGAAUAUUACAGACUGAUCUGAAAUGUCUGUCUCAUGUAUAUUGAAAGACUUAAAACUGCUGAAAACAACUAUCUGAUGUCUGAAUAACUUUGUUUAAUUGUUGACUUUAAAACUAGCUUAAAGAAUAUGUUGGAUGUUAUCAUGUCAUUAACUUUUCCCUCUGAGGAGGGUGCUUGAGUGUUUUCCUGCACAUUUUAAGUUCCUUGCUCUAGAUGUUGUAAGGACAAGGAAGAAUCUUUUUCAAUACAUUGUGCUGUGAAGCCCUCUCCAGUAAAGCAUUUCAUCUUGACUAAUAUUAUUUUCUUUUGCCUGAAAAUCAAUGUACAGUCUUUUCUAUGCACUGUACAUCCUGGACAGCUUCCAGGGUUUGAAAUCUGGCCAGUGUCACUGUAAGACUCUAGGGGCAGGAAUGUAAUAUUUGUUUAGUUAAGUCAAAUGGGAACCAUAGAUCAAGAUAUUAUUUAUAAUCCAAUGGCACAGGCUAAUUUUAGUAGCCAAGCUAUAUAUGUGUCAAGCAAGCAGUUGCUAAACCUUGCUUAAAGAGCUUUGAUAUCUAUUGAUCUUGCUGAUUGUAACCAUGCCUUUCAUCUGAAAGUGAUAAAUGGAUAAAUUGAAAACCACGUGAAAGCAAAUUAAUGCCUUUUAUUUAAACAAAUAGAUGGGAAACUAUUUUGUCUAUACUAGCUCCAGACAACAGCAUUUAAACUGCAUGAAUUUUCUCCUUUUUUCACCUGAUCCAGGUGGUGGAUGUUUUCAUUUUCUCUUUCAGCCUACGAUUUGAAUGAAGCAGUGCUGAGUAAAAUGAAUUUCAGUAAGAAUGAAGGGAUGGAAAAAAGAUACUGAGUUAAACUGAAAGCACUCCUUGGAGUUGUUCAACAGAGUUGCAAUUGGGAUAGCUUUUGUCUUACUAAAUACUAUAUUCUAAGGUAAAGUAGUAUAUCUGGCCAGAAUUUUUAGGUGGAGGAGAAAAAGAAAUACAUGUUAGACUCAAAUCAGGUGUUCCUUGAUGUUGAUCAUGACUAUGUGAGUUUCAGAUGUCAUUAAAGUUAUCCUGUAGUGCAAGCAAAUUUUCCUUUGACAGAAACUGGCAAGAUUUGAAAAAUUACAUGUUUAUUUUGCAGCAAAGUAAUCAGGUGCUUUUGUCUUUUUUUUUUAAUUCAUCAAGGCAAAGAAAGAGGUACAAACUAUAUCAUUUUGUUAUAAUAUUAAGAUAAUUUGGAGAGAAAUACGUGAGCCCAUGGUGAUUCAUAUCAUGGAUCCAAACAUGAGGUUUUUCUGUAUAUUGGGAGAGUCCUUGGAUGAGCAAGUUUUUAUUUAUACAUAUGCAAAAUAAACCUAUUCCUGCCAUAUUUUGAUGAGGCGAUUUAAGAUCUGCUUCCUUUAUCUCUAAAAUUAAUGAGUAUAAGAAUUGUCAGCAGGCUUUUAAGUUGUUUAAAACUAAAUGUGCGUGGUCAAACAGUAUUGCAGAAAUGUCUCUGGUAAAAAAGAAGUAAAACUCAAAGUGUGAAACUUGAAUGUGUUUCACUGGCUUUGUGGGAGGAUGGUGGCAGGUUUGCAAGCAUUUAUAGAUCAAUGAAUGUGCUGACCUUCCAAUAGCAAAUACUAUUGAAAUUACAGCAAACUUCCAUUGAUUUUUUUAAGUCCUUGAAUAUAACUUUAGAAAUAUCUUUAUCAUAAGGUACAUGGCAAUUUGGAUGAUAUUUUUUAGUAGAACAAUUAGUAAUUGGGUUAGAAAAAAUGCUUCAACUUUUGAGCCAUUCUUGUCAAUAUGAAUAAUCAGGGUAAAAUAAUGAAUAAUGCUAAUGGCAAUUUAAUGAAAUAUGAGUAGUGAAUAGCACUAGAGAUCUUUUGGAAUGGCUGAUCUAUCCAGUACUUUAUCAGAAACACAAUUUUUAAACAGUAAUAUACCAAACUAUGUUUGUUUCAGAUUUUUAUUUUAUAUAAGACUGAUCUUAAUACAGAUAUAUUUUAUAUCUGAUUUAAUAACACUAUACUUAUUCUAUCCAUUUACUGUCUGUCUGUCAAAGUUUGUGCUAGCAUAACAAUCCCAAUUCACAUCUGCAAUUUCAGAGAACUUAAAGGUAUUAUUCCUGUUUGUAAUAUUUUUCUGCCACUUUUCAUUAUUUAUGAACUGGUGGUGCUUUCUGGUGCAAACUGAGAAAACACUUUGAGAAAUGUCACCUGUUUCCUUAUCUGUUAAUUUAAAAAGAAGUACAACAAAAACCUUAUAUAUUUAACUAUGCUAUAAUCUUUUAAUUUGUCCUUCGUAGUCAGGUUCUAGACUGAUCUCUCCAAAAGCAUCAACAUGCAUCUGUUCAUUGGUCAAACCAGAGUCUACACUGUAUUUCUGAAGUGUGUCCUGAGCAACAUAAAUUUCUUUGGCUCCACUUGUUCUUGCUGUUUUCUCAUUAGGAUGCCUAAGGAUUUUCACUGAACUGGUGGGAUUGACUAUAACCAGGAACUGAAAAUGCCUCCAUUUAAAGUUUUCUUGUCGCUGAAAAAGACCUUGACUUCACCUUUCAAAUUCCAAAUGGAAUGGCAAGCUAAAGUGAACUUGUUCAGCUGAAAUUGCCGAGAUCUUAAGUACUCCAGGCUACUGGAAAGACAUCCUAUCAUUAAUCCUGCAUUAAUGAGGAGAAUGGACUUAGGGCAUGAUCCAGAGCCCAUUGUAGUCAAUGGGAGACUUUUUCCAUUGACUUCAUCGGGGUUUGGAUCAGGCCUUUACUUCCUAAAAUGAAUAAACUCCCAGCAAAAUCUGCGAUAAGCAAGUGGCAUCCUUUUCUGAGAUCUUAGAAGAUACCGAAGACGAUAAUACUCACACUUCACCCAUGAAUAUGGCUGUGUAUGUGACUCACUUCUCAUGGGGAGCACUGAGUUUAUCUUAACAGCAAAGAAAGCCCUUUAAAGUCUAAGCAUUACUGGUCAGAUUCAGAAUAUUUGAUCUAGAAAGUAGGGAUUUAUGUCCAUGAAAUAAAUUGUUAAAUUGUGAGAAACAAAGCUGAUACAUUUCUGAGUAUUUCUUAGUUUCCAAGGGAAAGGGGAUUAUUUAAGCUUAAAACUCCCAGAACUCUAGUAUGUGAAUUCCUGACAUUCAGAAUUAAAAAGGAAUGAUGUCAAUAGGGACUUUACUUUCUGUCACAAAAACUGUACUAUGAUAGUACUAACACAAAAUCAUCAAUUUGUCUAUGAGGAGUGAUGAUUUUCAAGUUUCUAUAAAAGAAAUGUCAAUAUGGUACAAAAUUAAAGGAAACUAAAGGAUUUAUUUAAAAAAUAGGAAAUAGAAGGGAGUUGCAAAGUUCCUGUUUAGUUGUUGUUGUUGUUGUUUUUAGAAAAAAAAUAAAUCUUCCCCUAACUCUUGAACCCUUGUACUUUCCAAAUAAAUAGUUCUAAUUAGGUCAUGUAAAUGUCUGAAAUCCUGAAUGCCUGACAAUACAGGCUAAGCAAUGGCUUCAGGGCUUUUGGCUUCAGUCUUAAUUAGUUACAUGACUUCUGACUUGGCCAUCUGCAGGACUGUCUCUAUGUCUGAGAUGCUCAAAAUUGCCUUUACAGAUAGCACUUUUGUAGCAGAAAUCUUUUCAUGUCACUGCAGUUGUUUAACAUUGAUCUGAUGAAUUAUGUCCCAAAAUUACCUCUAUCUCUAUAAUCAUUAUGAAAGAAACAAAUAUAUCAACUCAAAAAUACAUGUACGUAUUUGAGCACAUAAUUUGUUUUUGCCUCUAUCCUCACUUGAUACAAACUGAGAACCUUAAAACAUUGUGAUCAGGACCAACAAAAAUCUGGAGGUUCAAUAGUGACAUGGUUGAUACAGCCUUUGGACUUCCAGAAAUCCUUAUUGUAGCAGUGGAGAGGGCUUAGACAUUGCCAGUCAUAAUUUUCACAGCUCCAAGGCAACUGAUUUGCAAAGGGAAGAAGAAAGAUCUUGACAGAUUUCUGCCAGAUGUUCAGGGACAUCCUAAAUUCAGACACCCUUGAUACAUUCUUCUCCUUUUCCUCCUUCUAUGUGAAGGUGUUCAUAUUUUCCAUUUCUUGCCAACAGCCUGAAGUGAUUGCUGUCUUGCACUUGUAGAAAAUUCUGUCAAAAACUGACAUUUUUAAAGAGUAAUUUGUUCCUCCUUUCCUUGGCAUAAUGAGAUGCAUAGAAAGAAAAUUUUUGGUUUAUGUGGCACCUCUGAAAGAGUUAUCUGCAAUGUUUAGUUAGCAUAUUUUUUUUGUCAAAACUAAUAAACAAGUAGUAUGGGACAGAUUGUUGGUGCUUCUGAGGUAAUUACAACCUUUACAGUAAUUCCAUUAAAACAGUGUCUCCUGGUUGACUGAAAGAGAACUUAUAUGGAAACAGACCUGCUUGAAAAAUGUGUUUGGGAGAUAUAAUUAUACAGUGAAACUCCUCAAGAACUCUUAUAUUUAAUACAAAUGUCUUUUCCCAUUUGAAAUUAAAUGCAUUAAUCUUGUUAGUUUACACAAAUUUUAGGGGAAAUUUAUGAUCAAAACGUAUUGUAAUUGGGAUAUUUAUUUCACCCUAUAAUUUGUUUUCUUAUAAAAAGUUCCGUGUAUUACUAGGUGAUUCUUGUCAUGGUUCAUGUCACCCUUGAUUGAUGUGAUCCUAUUUGACCCCAUUUUUGCAGUUUAAAAUGUUGUAUAGGUCAAAAUUUCUCUUUGACCACUGAAAAGGCUUACCAUUAUAUUUUCCAAAGUUAUAUUCUCUAAGUCAGAUUGAUAUGACAGUAGAUUAUAAUUAAAUUAAACUGUAAAUCCCUAUAUGUAAAUCAUAGAUAUGGUCUUGAGGGUGACUUUGGGCUACUGGUUUUUGAAAUUUGCUCUUAUAUUGUAUAGUUUCUUAAUAAAUGUUAAAGUUGUUCUUUUAUUUUAUAUAGUCUCUUCACUUUGUUUUAUUAUUUUCUUAUUGCUAGUUCUUAGACUUCAGCAAUAACACUAAUUAAAACUGUUAAUAUAUUUCCUUCUGUAAUUAAUCUCUUUUCCUAACUUGUAAGAGAAUGUUUAUAAUAUGCCUCUUUAUAUUCUUGAAAAAAAUCUAUAAUAACACUGCUAAAAUAUUUUGGAAUUGUUUUCCUUUAAACUCAGGAAAUUAUUUCUGUCAUUUAUGUUAUUAGAUUUUAAUUCAGUAAAAAUAAGCUAGCAGACUGUGAAGGGCACAAACUAUAAACCUUUCAACAGAUUUGGCAGGAAAAGUCAUGCAAGAAAAGUAUGAAUGGGGAUUUGGAGAAUCAGUUGUGUGAGUGAGUGAUGUUAUGAAAUAAGGACUUUAUAGAUGAUGAGUUACAUCUUCAGCUUGAAAAAGAAUCUGCAUGUUUUUUUACAGAGUGUGGCAAUUCAAAGUGACCAAAUUACAGGGCUGUCACUAGACUUCCUUUUCAGCUGUCUACCUAAGACAAAUCCCCUUUUUUCCUUUACUUCUGGUUUGGUUUGGUUUGGUUUGGUUUGUUUUUUUUUUAAAGAAUACAGAAACAUGAAAUGCAAGAAUUCAUUCAAGUAUGACACUGUAGUAUGGCAAAUUGCAUAUUGUUCUGGUUCAGACAGUGAUCUGCAGAAAAUUUAUGUAUUAUCUCUAGAAAUUUGUAUUGUCUGCAGACCACCUAAGAGCUGUACUCGAAUCUUUGAAGUGAUGUUCAUUCUGUAGCUAUCUAUGAAAUGAUCACUGUUUCAAAUAUAUUAGGAAUAUCUUAUUGCUAGUUUCUCUUUUCAAAAUAAUGUGUAUGCAUUAGCUGAGAACAGAGGUGAAACAUUUGAACAUUAGAAAACCAUGCUGAUGAACAAGCUGGCAUAGAAAAUGAACUGAAAACUGUAGGGAACUGAAUAUCUAUAUAGGUUUGUCUCAUUGAUUAAGGUUUAUCUACUACAGCAAGUCAAAAGCACAAAGGAAAAUAAUUCCUCUCAUGUACAAAAAGAGAACAAAUGGAUGCUGAUAUGGAAAUUAGUUACUUAAGUAGCUAUUACAUACAGGGAUAUUGAACGAAGCAUUGGCGUUUGCAAGUGGUUUUGAAUUUUUUAUACUGUGUGUAAUGAUUAAAGUAAAGGUAUAAAACAAUCCAUUAAUGUGUUGUGGCAUCUUUUAUAAAUACUAGAGAGAGAUAAUUUUGAUUUUGUAGAAGCAAUGCAUGUUAGAAGAAAAAGCAUAUCAAGACCUCUUAACCUGACAAUUUAUACCCAGAAACAGAAAAAACAUUUUGAUUCACAGUUGAGAGUCUCAAAUUGAUUUAUGUCCUUGGAAAUCAGUUUCAUUGCUCGGAGCUGAUAUAUUCCAAACUAUUAGUAUAUAGAGAAUACUGUGUCUUGAGAACUUGAAAGAAAGUCUCAAUUGCCAUACUCACCUACACAAAGAAAUAAUACUGCUCCUCAACUGAGCUGUGGAAAUGUGCUACACACAGACACAGACAUACAGACACUCAAACACCCUCUUCACACACAGUCAAAACCUUUCCUAUUCACUGUUUUGAUGGCUCAGUUUCAGUACUUCUGCCAUAUUUUAUUUUUGAGGAAAGUUUUUGAAAGAAGAUAUUCCAUGAAUUAUAAGAACAGCAAAUAGAGAUAUGACUUUGGCACAUGUAAGAAUAAAGUUUAGGAACAGCUUCUGUUUCUAUAGUUUUUAAUCUGAGAAGCACAGCUGUGUCUGAGAAACACAGGCUCUAAGAUGGUCUGCAGAUGUUGAUUGUUCAGCCUUGAAACCUGCAUUAUUCAGAUCAGAACUACUGUGGAUCAACCACCACCUCUUUACUUUGAUAGACACACAGACCUGGAUGUUUCAACAGUUUCAUUGUGUGUAAAACAGUUUCAACAAGUUAAUUGUGCAAUUUUUUGUGGCUACAGUGGGCAUCCCCUGUUUUUUCUCUAGCUAUUAAAAGUCUCAAAAUGAAAUAUCUUAAUUUUGCUUUCUUCCAUAUCCUUAAUAACUGGUUAUAACUAAUAAACUCUGGAGCUGAAGUUCAGUAUUGUUUUCAAGUCGAGCAAACUACCAAGUGAAGUUGACAAUUGUAAAUGUCAUGCGAAUAUGGUGUUGAAGAAGGCAAAUACUGCAAUUACCAAUUUAAAUUUAAAAUUAUCUUUUGUCAGUAUUCAACUGUCACUUAAUCUCUCAGAUCAAGACUGAAGAUGUGAUGUUAUUGAUUUGUUUUUAAUAGAGAAUAACUUGCCCAUACUUUCUCUAGAGUAUAUUGGGUUGGAAACAAAGAUGAUGAAGGUUAGUUUAGGUUUUGAUGGAUAGACUAGAAUAUUUUCAUUUUCAUCUCUGAAGCACGAAAAUUCUAAACCCCACCCUUCUAAGGGCCAGAAAAGAGAAAGGAUUUACCUUAAUUAGUUUAUUUUGAAUCCACUUCAACACACCACACACUGAAAAUACAGAGCAUAAUUUUUUAAGGAGAUCUGACAGAUGAGUUAUCAAACAUCUUUUGCUUUGUCUUUCACAACCUUAUCAGGUAAAAAGGAGGCAAAGUUUUCAACACAGCUCCUUCAUCUUUUCAGGUACUCAUCUCUUUGUAUGUGUUCUCUUUAAAAUUCCGUUGUGAAGUUUAUGGCACUCUCUCUUCCAGACUUCUCAUUUAUUUAUUUUCCAGGACUGCCCCAGAAGAAAAACAUCAAGAUGGAUCUGAUUUUGCAUAUUAAUUGUCAGAGCACUAACAUAUAGCAUAGGUGUUUCUGUUGUUAUAGGAGAUAAAUUGCAUCCUUUUGGCCUGUGGAAAUAUUGAAAGUAUUGUAAGCUUUCAUGGUACCAGAUGGUUUCUAAUUACUAACACCAUUGCCUGGAAGAUUGUUUUUAGUCACUGACAAACUCAUAUUAUAUUUGCAUUUAAAUGGCUCUCAAAUGUACCCAAUAGUUUCUCAAUACACUGUCAGUAGGGACACAACUCCAAUUCUAUACAGUACCUUCACUGAAGCAGCUGCUGGCCAGACGCCUGUACAUAAAUUGAAAACAUUGUGUCUCUAGUGAUGUCUGGUUACCUUUUACUUCUUUCUUCAGAACAGGGCUUUGCUACCUCCACCAAUAAACAAACCUCUGUCUUUAACAUGACAACCUCUUACAUUUCUUUCAUUAUAAUUUUCCCUGGGCUAAGAGAGUCUUCCCUAAUGAAGUGAAUUACUUCCAAGUACUACAGGCGCUGUGCCUAAAAAUCUACUUAAAACAAAGAAAAAAAAAUCCUUUAUUUCAGUAGAGCUUUUAUCACAGUACUGCCAAAGCAGAGUCAUUAUUGCAUUUCGUCUAAAGUUGACUGAACUAUGGUUCAAAAAUGAAUUCUAAUCAGUGCAGGUUGACUUCAUAGAAUAGAUUGCACAAAACUGCACUUUAUAGGUGUUUGUGUCACUGUGUUGUGUUGUUGUGAAACCUGCUCAAGCAAAAAAUUUUUUGGAGAAUAUGUGUAACAUUAAAAAAAAAAAGAUAUUUUAAA